GUAGGCGGUUUGUCACGUCGUCUGUGAAAUCCCUCGGCUUAACCGGGGGCGUGCAGGCGAUACGGGCAGACUUGAGUACUACAGGGGAGACUGGAAUUCCUGGUGUAGCGGUGAAAUGCGCAGAUAUCAGGAGGAACACCGGUGGCGAAGGCGGGUCUCUGGGUAGUAACUGACGCUGAGGAGCGAAAGCAUGGGUAGCGAACAGGAUUAGAUACCCUGGUAGUCCAUGCCGUAAACGGUGGGCGCUAGGUGUGGGGUCCUUCCACGGACUCCGUGCCGUAGCUAACGCAUUAAGCGCCCCGCCUGGGGAGUACGGCCGCAAGGCCAAAACUCAAAGGAAUUGACGGGGGCCCGCACAAGCGGCGGAGCAUGUGGAUUAAUUCGAUGCAACGCGAAGAACCUUACCUAGGCUUGACAUAUACAGGACGACGGCAGAGAUGUCGUUUCCCUUGUGGCUUGUAUACAGGUGGUGCAUGGUUGUCGUCAGCUCGUGUCGUGAGAUGUUGGGUUAAGUCCCGCAACGAGCGCAACCCCUGUCUCAUGUUGCCAGCACGUAAUGGUGGGGACUCGUGAGAGACUGCCGGGGUCAACUCGGAGGAAGGUGGGGAUGACGUCAAAUCAUCAUGCCCCUUAUGUCUAGGGCUUCACACAUGCUACAAUGGCUAGUACAGAGGGCUGCGAUACCGCGAGGUGGAGCGAAUCCCUUAAAGCUGGUCUCAGUUCGGAUUGGGGUCUGCAACUCGACCCCAUGAAGUCGGAGUCGC
rnacentral:rRNA from 1 species